rnacentral:rRNA from 1 species
AGGAGGCAGCAGUGGGGAAUCUUCCGCAAUGGACGAAAGUCUGACGGAGCAACGCCGCGUGAGUGACGAAGGCCUUCGGGUUGUAAAGCUCUGUUAUCGGGGAAGAAUACUUUUCAUGUAAAUAAUGUGGAGAGUUGACGGUACCUGAGGAGGAAGCCACGGCUAACUACGUGCCAGCAGCCGCGGUAAUACGUAGGUGGCGAGCGUUGUCCGGAAUUAUUGGGCGUAAAGCGCGCGUAGGUGGGAUAUUAAGUCUAUUCUAAAAGUGCGGGGCUCAACCCCGUAAUGGGAUGGAAACUAAUAUUCUUGAGUACCGGAGAGGAAAGCGGAAUUCCCAGUGUAGCGGUGAAAUGCGUAGAUAUUGGGAGGAACACCAGUGGCGAAGGCGGCUUUCUGGACGGUGUCUGACACUGAGGCGCGAAAGCUAGGGGAGCGAACGGGAUUAGAUACCCCUGUAGUCC